rnacentral:rRNA from 1 species
UACGUAGGUGGCAAGCGUUGUCCGGAUUUACUGGGCGUAAAGAGCGCGCAGGCGGUCGGUCAAGUCGCGGGUGAAAGCCCCCGGCUCAACUGGGGAGGGUCACGCGAUACUGAUCGACUCGAAGGCAGGAGAGGGUAGUGGAAUUCCCGGUGUAGUGGUGAAAUGCGUAGAUAUCGGGAGGAACACCAGUGGCGAAGGCGACUACCUGGCCUGUUUCUUGACGCUGAGGCGCGAAAGCUAGGGGAGCAAACGGG